UGAUGACAUGUGUACUUAUCA
rnacentral:siRNA from 1 species